rnacentral:tRNA from 1 species
GUGGGUAUAGCUCAGUGGUAGAGUGCAUGCUUAACAUGCACAGUGUCUGGGGUUCAAUCCCCAGUAUCUCCA